ensembl:snRNA U6 U6 spliceosomal RNA
GUGUGUGCCUCGGCAGCACAGAUACUAAAACCGGAAUGACACAGAGAGGAUUCGCAUGGUCCCUGCACGAGGAUGACACACAAAUUUGUGAAGUGUCCCAUUAAAAA